ACGUAUAUCACUGCAGCUCAAACAUUUUGUACCACGUCAAAACACUUACAUCUGGUUUAUUUCUUCUUACAGGCGGAGACGUCUGUUUCUCAAUAUCACACUCAACUGCGUGAGGACCGUGACCGUCUGCAGAGCGGUGCAUCUGCGGCCUGCCGAAGAACAAGUGUCCCGUCCCGGUCGCCCAGCAGCUGCAGCACCUCAGGGCCGCCGACCAGAUCCUGGUCCCGAAGGAGGCCAGCACAUCAGCUUCCCGCAACAAUACCUGGCUGCCAUGUCUUACGAUGAAAAUGCUGAGCGACCGAAAGCCCAAACAAAAGAAGGUGAACCACUGUUCAAGGUCCAUUUUCCAAAGGCCGUGAAGGGGGAAUGCAGAGCUACACCAGUUAAGACUAUAAGUGUUAUAUUAUUUUAUUUUUCAACCAAAAAAUGUUUUGUACACAUUGUAAGUAUUAAGUAUGUAAGCAUAAUGUUAUGACAGUUCCACCGACAACAAAAUACAGUAAAGAAAAUGUCAGGAGAUAGUUAGAAAUAGACUUUCAAUCAAUCAAGUUUUGGCGCAAAAACAACACCAUACCUACAGUGAAGGGUGGUGGUGGUGGUGGUGGCGGCGGCGGCGGCGGCGGCAGCGUCGCGCUUUGGGGCUGUUUUUCUUCAGCUGGAACUGGGGCCUUAGUCAGGGUGGAGGGAAUUAUGAACAGUUCCAAAUACCAGUCGGCCUUCUGUUAGAAAGCUGAAGAUGAAGAGGAACUUCAUCUUUGGGCACGAUCUAAAUCAACCAAAGAAUGGCUUCACCGGAAUAAGAUCGAGGCUUUGGAACGGCCCGGCCGGAGUCCAGACCCGGAUCCCAUCGAACAUCUGUGGGGUGAUCUGAAGAGGGCCGUGCACAGGAGAUGCCCUUGCGAUCUGUCAGAUUUGGAGCGGUUUUGCAAAGAAGAGUGGGCAAAUAUUGCCACAUUAAGAUGUGCCACGCUGAUAGGUUCCUACCCAAAAAGAGUGAGUGCUGUAAUAAAAGCCAAAGGUGCUGCAACAAAGUAUUAGUUUAAGGGCGUGCAUAUUUAUGCAACCACGUUCUUUUAAGUUUUUUAUUUUAUAUUUUUCCCCUUUAAAGGUUUCAGUUUGUUUUUCAAUUGCAUUGUACAGGUUAUAGGUCACAUUAAAGGUGGGAAAAGUUGUGAAAUUAUU